CUGCCUUUCGGGGCCGCAAACUAACUGUUUACAUAACAAAGUACCGCAUUUUAAACAUGUUACAAGCUGUGUGUCGCGCGGAAGGCGCGGUGACGGAGCU
rnacentral:rRNA from 1 species